AUGUUGGCCGGGCGACGGUUGUCCCGGUUUAAGCGUGUAGGCUGGUUUUCCAGGCAAAUCCGGAAAACUAAGGCUGAGGCGUGAUGACGAGGCACUACGGUGCUGAAGCAACAAAUGCCCUGCUUCCAGGAAAAGCCUCUAAGCAUCAGGUAACAUCAAAUCGUACCCCAAACCGACACAGGUGGUCAGGUAGAGAAUACCAAGGCGCUUGAGAGAACUCGGGUGAAGGAACUAGGCAAAAUGGUGCCGUAACUUCGGGAGAAGGCACGCUGAUAUGUAGGUGAAGUCCCUCGCGGAUGGAGCUGAAAUCAGUCGAAGAUACCAGCUGGCUGCAACUGUUUAUUAAAAACACAGCACUGUGCAAACACGAAAGUGGACGUAUACGGUGUGACGCCUGCCCGGUGCCGGAAGGUUAAUUGAUGGGGUCAGCGCAAGCGAAGCUCUUGAUCGAAGCCCCGGUAAACGGCGGCCGUAACUAUAACGGUCCUAAGGUAGCGAAAUUCCUUGUCGGGUAAGUUCCGACCUGCACGAAUGGCGUAAUGAUGGCCAGGCUGUCUCCACCCGAGACUCAGUGAAAUUGAACUCGCUGUGAAGAUGCAGUGUACCCGCGGCAAGACGGAAAGACCCCGUGAACCUUUACUAUAGCUUGACACUGAACAUUGAGCCUUGAUGUGUAGGAUAGGUGGGAGGCUUUGAAGUGUGGACGCCAGUCUGCAUGGAGCCGACCUUGAAAUACCACCCUUUAAUGUUUGAUGUUCUAACGUUGACCCGUAAUCCGGGUUGCGGACAGUGUCUGGUGGGUAGUUUGACUGGGGCGGUCUCCUCCUAAAGAGUAACGGAGGAGCACGAAGGUUGGCUAAUCCUGGUCGGACAUCAGGAGGUUAGUGCAAUGGCAUAAGCCAGCUUGACUGCGAGCGUGACGGCGCGAGCAGGUGCGAAAGCAGGUCAUAGUGAUCCGGUGGUUCUGAAUGGAAGGGCCAUCGCUCAACGGAUAAAAGGUACUCCGGGGAUAACAGGCUGAUACCGCCCAAGAGUUCAUAUCGACGGCGGUGUUUGGCACCUCGAUGUCGGCUCAUCACAUCCUGGGGCUGAAGUAGGUCCCAAGGGUAUGGCUGUUCGCCAUUUAAAGUGGUACGCGAGCUGGGUUUAGAACGUCGUGAGACAGUUCGGUCCCUAUCUGCCGUGGGCGCUGGAGAACUGAGGGGGGCUGCUCCUAGUACGAGAGGACCGGAGUGGACGCAUCACUGGUGUUC
rnacentral:rRNA from 1 species